rnacentral:ncRNA from 1 species
AACAGGGGAGCCGUUUGGCUGAGAGGAGGCGCAAGCCUCGACCCUAGACCUGAUUCGGGUAAUGCCGGCGUAGGGAGUAGACGU